GACGAACGCUGGUGGCGUGCUUAACACAUGCCAGUCGAACGGAAAGGCCCUGCUUUUGUGGGGUGCUCGAGUGGCGAACGGGUGAGUAACACGUGAGUAACCUGCCCUUGACUUUGGGAUAACUUCAGGAAACUGGGGCUAAUACCGGAUAGGAGCUCCUGCUGCAUGGUGGGGGUUGGAAAGUUUCGGCGGUUGGGGAUGGACUCGCGGCUUAUCAGCUUGUUGGUGGGGUAGUGGCUUACCAAGGCUUUGACGGGUAGCCGGCCUGAGAGGGUGACCGGCCACAUUGGGACUGAGAUACGGCCCAGACUCCUACGGGAGGCAGCAGUGGGGAAUAUUGCACAAUGGGCGGAAGCCUGAUGCAGCAACGCCGCGUGCGGGAUGACGGCCUUCGGGUUGUAAACCGCUUUCGCCUGUGACGAAGCGUGAGUGACGGUAAUGGGUAAAGAAGCACCGGCUAACUACGUG
rnacentral:rRNA from 1 species